rfam:Myotis davidii contig10266, whole genome shotgun sequence.
GGUGUUUCUUGGGUGAUGCGCCCCAGAAUUGAGCUUCCUCCUCUCUGAUUCCAGGUGUGUCACCCUAGGACCGCA